CUUCAUCCCUUGUCUCCUCCCCUGGGAAUUCUCCUAGGUAUGGAGGGUUAGCUAGGUAGCAUAGUGGAGAAAGCAGCAGGUCUGGAGUUAGGAGAACAGGGUUUGUUGUGUAGUAAAAAUUAACUGACCCUCAUUCUGCUCCUUACCUAGGAUAGCAAAGUAUUCAUUAACAGAAUGUUCUGGACAAGAUCCUAGACAUUACGGGACUUCCACAAUGUCCCAGACAUGACCAGACCUUUGAAGUAGACCAAUAGUAUGUAACCACUUGUCUUUCAUGUCUCUACCUGUCUGCCUGUUAUGUUAAUUUGAUUAACUUGAUUAACUUUAUUAACCAAAUGCUCACAUGUAACUCAACUAUGAUCAUACCCUAUAUAAACACUGCUUAGACUCUGCUUCGGGGGAACUCACCUGACUGAGUUACCCCUAGCGCACUAGGAAUAAACUUCCCUUUGCCUGAUUUGCAUUGUCUUCAUGUGUUCCUUUGGGUGAUCAAUUCUCGGACCCUAACAUAUGGGGGCUCGUCCGGGAAUGAUACCCUGAGGACCUCCGGGACACGGGAAGUUCUCUCCCAACUUUCGUGGUGACUUUCCUGAGAGGAGCGAGAACGGGGAUGAUGGUCGACCCACCACAGACCCAACCCAUCUUGCUGUUGUUUUUCCUGCCACUCGUCCAGACUGGGACUUCCCCUCGGAGGAAGGGGGAAAAAAAGCUGCUGCUUUGAAGUUCAGCAAACCAGAUGGCAGAUAUUCUGAAAUAUUUUCCAGCCAACAAAGGGGAGUCAUGCAUUUGAAACAGAGAAAAGCCACACAGUCUCAGAAUAGAGGGAAGAAUGGCCAUGUCCAAGUCCAUGCUGUUGCUGCCAUACAUAGGAAGAAACUUGAGAAAGGUACACUGGAAAUGAGACCAGAUGAGAGGAGAUAUGAUUGAACAAAACAAGACUGGAGCAUAGACAAGGUCAAACUGAACCAGUAGACUAGAGUGAGUGAGACUACCAGAAUCCAAUGCCUAGCACUCUUGUCGAGAGUGCUCCCUGUAAGAGAGAAAAUCAGAUCCAGCAAUGCAAAGGAACGGUCCAAGUGGGGGAAGGACAAGGAAGACUGAAGAUUCCAGAAGGAAGAGAGGAGCUGGGGGGAAGGUGAAACUGCCAGAUCACUUCUUGUAAGCCUUCCUAGAGUGGAUGGUCUAAGAGAGGACCUCUGAAAGAAAGGAUCCCUCUGGACACUGACUACCUUCCAGUGAACCCCUAACUCUUUCUGGUUCCAACUGAAGACAACAAAGUAGACUGGGACUUUGUGGAAAGACUUCUACUAAAAGGAUUUCUCUCUAUCCCCCAAAAUAGUCCUGAACUUCAUCUCAUAGCUAGAUCAGCUUAGGAGGAAGGACAAAUCCACCAACUGACCAAGGGCAGGACAGGCAGAUAGUCUGAACCUCUCAGGAUUUGGGGGAGGAAGGUCAGUUGUUAAGCUAUAGGGAUUCCUAUCUCCCACUUUCCUCACCCAACACCCCAAUUCUCCCUGCCUUGUGUGUCCUCAAAUAAAGAGUUACCUUUAGGUCA
ensembl:lncRNA